GACGUAGGGGGCCAGCGUUGUUCGGAAUUACUGGGUGUAAAGGGUUCGUAGGCGGUGUGGCAAGUCGGGAGUGAAAUCUAUGGGCUUAACCCAUAGGCUGCUUCCGAAACUGCUGUGCUGGAGUGUGGGAGAGGCGCGUGGAAUUGCAGGUGUAGCGGUGAAAUGCGUAGAUAUCUGCAGGAACACCCGUGGCGAAAGCGGCGCGCUGGACCACAACUGACGCUGAGGAACGAAAGCUAGGGGAGCAAACAGG
rnacentral:rRNA from 1 species